rnacentral:rRNA from 1 species
CAAGUCGAACGCGAAAGUGGAGCAAUCCAUGAGUAGAGUGGCAAACGGGUGAGUAACGCGUGGGUGACCUGCCUUCGAGUGGGGGAUAACGUUCCGAAAGGGACGCUAAUACCGCAUGACAUCCGGCCUUUGAAGAGGCGGAGAUCAAAGCUGGGGAUCGCAAGACCUAGCGCUCGAUGAGGGGCCCGCGUCUGAUUAGCUAGUUGGUGGGGUAACGGCUCACCAAGGCAACGAUCAGUAUCCGGCCUGAGAGGGCGGACGGACACACUGGGACUGAGACACGGCCCAGACUCCUACGGGAGGCAGCAGUGGGGAAUUGUUCGCAAUGGGCGCAAGCCUGACGACGCAACGCCGCGUGGAGGAUGAAGAUCUUCGGGUCGUAAACUCCUUUCGAUCGAGACGAACAGCCUUCGGGUAAACAAUCCGGAGGUCUGACGGUACCGAGAGAAGAAGCCCCGGCUAACUCCGUGCCAGCAGCCGCGGUAAUACGGGGGGGGCAAGCGUUGUUCGGAAUUACUGGGCGUAAAGGGCUCGUAGGCGGCCAACUAAGUCAGACGUGAAAUCCCUCGGCUUAACCGGGGAACUGCGUCUGAUACUGGAUGGCUUGAGUUUGGGAGAGGGAUGCGGAAUUCCAGGUGUAGCGGUGAAAUGCGUAGAUAUCUGGAGGAACACCGGUGGCGAAGGCGGCAUCCUGGACCAACACUGACGCUGAGUGAGCGAAAGCCAGGGGAGCAAACGGGAUUAGAUACCCCGGUAGUCCUGGCCCUAAACGAUGAAUGCUUGGUGUGGCGGGUAUCGAUCCCUGCCGUGCCGAAGCUAACGCAUUAA